GAAUAUAUUUAUCAGAUUGGUCCGAUUCGCGUAACAAAAUCAAACUAAACAAGUGAUUGAUUUAGCAGGCACACAAAUUCAGAGCAACAGCCCCGCUGCUAGAAGAUCCCAGUUUUGCAUUAUGCUUCCGGCUCCGGCUUCCGCCGAUGUGUCUACAACGAGGAGCUGUAGAAGGAAAUUUUCAUCAUGGAGGAACAUACUCAAAAGGAAUCGAGAAUAUCUUGACUGGACGACAACGAUGACGGAAAAUACAACGACAAAAAGCCGGAGGAAAAUCCUGUAAACAAGCUCUACGGAAGAAGGGGGAGGAUCGGUGACAGCAACAGGCAUUCGUUCGUGUUUUGGGGGACAUGCGCUAAUGCUCGUGGGGUGCGUGUGCAAUUACUCGUCUAGAUGUCCCCUACAGCUGUAAAGGAGGCCACCGCGGGCGCGUUUCUGAUCCAUCCGGAAGUGCGCGUAUGUUGUGCGAGUGAGUGUUAGAGGACCCACUCCUGACCCUGUACUUUUCGGACACUUUGAACGAAGGUUUUCGAGCAUCAAAAAGAUAAUCGCCGCUGCAGCUCGCAUAUCGAAGGUUCCAAGAUUUGUCAUCAUCAAUCUACAAAAGUGGUGGAGGAAAGGUGAAAAUGAAGAUCUCUAUACUGACUACGAGAACGAACCCAUCAACAGUGAAGGAUAUCCUGUCGUUUUCCUGGCAGAUCAGCAAGGAAAUGGCUUUUCUAACUUCAUCGCGAUCUGGUCGCUUGGAAUGCGCUUCUCGGUGAGGGUCGUGUACCGGAGAACAAAGGCCGUGUAAGAUACGAAAAGCGAUGUCUGGGCAUUCGGAGUCGUGGGCUGUCUGCUGGAAAUCGAUCACCUUGGGCGCAUCCCCUUAUUCUGGCAUACCACCAUAGCGAGAGAAAUGGAAAUGGAAUGCCCGAAACAUUAUUCGGA